rnacentral:rRNA from 1 species
GUAGGGAAUAUUGGACAAUGGGCGAAAGCCUGAUCCAGCCAUGCCGCGUGAUAGAUGAAGGCCCUCUGGGUUGUAAAUAUCUUUUAUCUGGGAAGAAACUCCUCUAUUCUUAGAGGCCUGACGGUACCAGAGGAAUAAGCACCGGCUAACUCCGUGCCACCAGCCGCGGUAAUACGGAGGGUGCAAGCGUUAUCCGGAUUCACUGGGUUUAAGGGGUGCGUAGGCGGGUUGAUGAGUCAGUGGUGAAAGCUCCGGGCUUAACUUGGAAACUGCCAUUGAUACUGUCAAUCUUGAAUGUCGUAGAGGUAAGCGGAAUGUUUCAUGUAGCGGUGAAAUGCUUAGAUAUGUUACAGAACACCAAUUGCGAAGGCAGCUUACUAUGCGAUAAUUGACGCUGAGGCACGAAAGCGUGGGGAGCAAACAGGAUUAGAUACCCGUGUAGUCC